rnacentral:lncRNA from 1 species
CGGUCUCCGGAGGCCGGGAUUCGCGGAGGGUCCAGCAGCAGGAAGAAACCCCAGGAGGAAGAAACCUCAGACAGAUCGCCGGCGAGGCAGCGCGGGAUCCCAGCCUCAGGCGUGCGCGGACGGUGUGCGGCGCACACAACCAAGCUUAGGAGCCGACUGUUAAGAUGCCCCAGUGACACGGACAAGUUUCUCCUCUGCAACCCAAUGAGAGCUGCUGACCACGAGAGCAUCGCGGGACCGCCAAAGGAUUCUGGAAAAUGUGGUCCCGGGUGGCCAGUGUGCGCUGACCUUCACCUGAAGGUACGGCUUGAAGGAAACUUCUGGAGGGUGGGGUGGUGUUGAAGAGAAGGCACAAUUGUCACCAUUUUGUUCAACAUGGGCGUUUUCUUUGUGCAUUGAUUUGCAUUUUUAAAGGUAUUCCAUUAAAAAUAUGUUUAUC